rnacentral:lncRNA from 1 species
AUGAACUUGAGGUCUAUGUCAGACUUCUCUGAGCACUUUCUCAUUGCAAAUGCAUGUAGUACUGCUUGCUACUGGGAGGAAAGAAGAGAGAUCUCCCUCUGUCAUAGGAAAUCUAAGGAGUGGGUCCCUGAGUUCACAGCAUGUUUCAAAGAGAUGAAGAGGCUGAGAGGGAGGAAUCGCUGCCCAUGGGAGAAUGGAAUCCUAAGAAUUUCCCCUAUCAGCUUUGAAAGGUCAUUUAUUCUUGUAGCAUGGGAAUUUCCAGUGAGAAAGUCUAUCUUCUCUGACCCUUCUUCUCUACCUCCCUCCAUCCCAAGAAUCAUCUAAGUCCAUUGGCAAGAACAAAUCAGGACAAAUGGUGAUGACCUGGAUGCUGUGGAUGACCUUGGAGCCUUUGAUGUUUGGCCAAACUUCAGCUGCCUUCACGGCUGCUGAUUCAAGUUCUCCAGGGCCUUCCAGAAAAGCCAAAAUGAAGAAGACUUCAUGCUUUUGGGGGAAGAAGUAAAAGUAAUACAAAUUUUCUGCUAAAGCCCUCCUCUUCUGCUUCAUUGUGAAUCUAGGUUUCUUUAGGCAAUGCCAUUGUACUCAUCAUUUCGUCAAAAUUGAAGAAGUUACAAAUAUGGCCUGGUAAUGCCUAUCCUCCAGGGACUAGCUUAACAAAGUUUGGGGGCAUUAUUAUUAGAGAUCCGGCCAGUAGGUGG